GCGUCCCGCGGCUGCCGCGGCGGGCAGGGAGCGGAGCGAGGGCUCCCGGCCGCUGAUCUGUUCUCGGUAUUUUUCAUUUUCGUACAUGUUUUUGAUCGUUAUUUUUUGUCUUUACACAAAGAGUGUCCUUCUCACAGACAAAGCAUCCCACGGCGCUGUCACCGGCGAUGCCCAGGCCCUGGUUCUGCUCCUCCGCGGCCACUUUUCCCCCUGGCCACCCCCGGGGGAACUCUGGACCCGGUGCCGCUCUGCCAGGCUUUGGGGACAGGUUUGGUCCUGCAGCCGUCUGCUGCUGGGGGAGGCAACACGGGAGCCUGGCCUGGCAGGUGCCUGGGAGGCUGGGAUCUCCCUGCUCUGCCCUGCCGCCUCCCUAAAGCGCGAUCCCCGGCACCGGAAAGUCCCGGUCGCAGCUGGAGAACAAAGUACGGCCGGGGCGAUCGGCGGGGAAAAUGUGCAGGGCAACGUUUUGUUUUGUGUCGGGUUUCACAGAACCGAAAGCCGGUCCUUCUCCCCUGCAGGCGAACGGGUAUAUGACUGAAACAUGUCCUUGCUCUCCUACCUGCAUCCCCUCUGGUGCUCUUAAUGAAAGGAUACAGCAGCAGACAGAGUCGCGAGGAAUUUUCAUAUAACCCCUGCUGAAGACUUAGUAAGAUCCUCUGUACUGCAAAAUACCAUUUGCAUUGUUGGAGUACAGUCGUGGUGAAAAGGAGAUUUUGGGCCAUCUGUGUUUCGCAGAAGUCCCGCGGUGCUAACCUUGCACUGGGAACAGCAGGGAUGGACCAAAGGAGAGUGAAUAGUACCCACAGUUCUGCUGUCUAGGUUUUCCCGGAUACAAGAUGCUACCUUUCUACACCACAAACUGGGACAGCAGUUACUGGGAGACCACCUCCAGAGCCCAUCGCCUGUGCAUAGGCUGCUGGGGGAUCAAAUUCCAUCACAGCAGCCUCCAGAGAGGUCUCUAGAAAAGGCUGAUUUCCUUAUCUGGUUCUUGCAAAAGCUGCACCAUUUUGCACACUUUUUGAUGGCAAUACAGGAUGCCAAAAACACUGUGUCACAGUCACACAUCUCAUUUUCCCUUACUCCAGUGCAUUCUGUGAUUUUCAGUAUCUGAGCUGAUUUGCAACGUGAGUAGGUUUUUAGCAGAAAACCAGACAGAGAUAUAGGACAUACGCAGCUAAUUGAUGACAUAUCUCCACUGAACAGCCUCGUUUAAACUCAUAGCGAUGUAGUCCAUGCUGCCACCUAUGUCUUCUGAUUCAGGUUUCUUGUGUACUGCAACUUCGUAGUUGAAGGCAGUAUCCUUUGAGGGCAGCUCACAUUUUGUGAAGCUCUGCGAGGGACCACAAGCACAGGCAGCUCUGGCUGCACAAGGGAAUGAAGCAAAAGGUUUCUCACCGGCUCAGCCACUUGUUUGGUUGCAGUGAGGAUGCCUCGAUGCAGAUUAGGAAUCAGCAGUCACAUCAGUGAAAUCUUUAUUGAUUUCAGUGUGCGCUGAUGCCGCUCAUAGCGCAAUCAAACCUAACCCCUUAAAAACCCCACUGUGAAGACAUUAACCCAAACCUAACUAAGGCCAAAAUCGCUCUGGUUACAGGAGAAACCUUGUUUUCAUUGUCUGGCUGGUAGAGGAACAUGAUGUUUCAUGGACUCAGGACCAAGACAGGGCAUGGACAAAGAGGAGAUUUUGCAGGGAUUGGGAAGAUUUUACAUAUAAACAUUAAAAUUUAAAAAAAACAAAGUUCAUCCCAGCAUGAAGUCCAGCAGAAAUGUAGGAGAGAAAUGGACAGCACUGUCUGCAAAGGAUUGUGUGAGCAAGAAUGGCAAAAAAAAGGACUGAAUAAGUCCACUGCAUUAAUGAUUUUUUAGACAUGAAUAUCCUAUACAGAGUUAUAUGGGGUCAGUCUUUGGGGUUCCCCUGUAUAGCAGAGGAUCCUGAGCCUGAAAAAGGGAAGCAGAUUUUGUAAGGGAUUUGCAUAUCAUAGAGUGACUCUGGAUUGCAAAUUUUAAGCAUUACUAAAUUGGGGAAUAAAUUGUUGCUAUUGCUGUUACAUACCAGGAUAUCUCACUAAUCCACACAAUCCACUAAAUUGCUGUAGUUUUAGUCUGUGUUUAUUUUAGAUGAAAUUAUGGCCUGGACAGUUACUUUUUCUUACUUUAUCUGUAUAAAUCAUAUAUAAAUAAGAUAUCAAACAGAAACCAAAACUGACCUGUGUUUUUGGUACACUCCCCAUCAUGUGAACCUGCCAGUGAUAGAGCCCUGCACCCAGUUUACAAGUCAAACAGAAAAGCAAUGAAAACCCACAGGUCUUUCUUGAAAAGUGGCCAACUGGCAUUAAAUUCUCUUGCUUUAAUGCUCUGGGUGGCCUAUUUUGCUUAUAUUUGAGACUGCCUAGCCAUUAUGGGAUUGCCUGUACUGGUCCUUUCCUUACAUCAAGCUAAUUACAAAUUAACUUGAGGCACUUAUCAAGGCUGAGAGGCUGGAGCUGGUCCUUUCUGAACACCGGUUGAGUUUGGAAGUGUCUGUUGCUUUACAGAGACUGAUUCCUAAAGUGAGGGGCACACACAGAAGAACCAAACAGCCUGGAACCAAAGUGGUCACACUGGCUUUUGAAAAAAGUGAGUGUCUUAAGUUAAUUGACAAUCAGCUACCUGGAAAUAAAAGCCUCUCAUAUAUCCAAAGGUUUUCACUAGGAUUUUCAAGACCUCCUGAGCAAUUUAAAAUCCUUGGAAGGAAUGCACUAUAGAAUGAAAAAUAUAAGUAUUAUUAAAGAAUGUCUCUGAAUGAAAGCCAGCCAGUUUCAUAAAAAUGAACUAAAAAAGCAAUAACAGGUA